GAAGAAAGCUUGCUUUCUUUGCUGGCGACCGGCGCACGGGUGAGUAACACGUAUCCAACCUGCCCUUUACUCGGGGAUAGCCUUUCGAAAGAAAGAUUAAUACCCGAUGGCAUAAUGAUUCCGCAUGGUUUCAUUAUUAAAGGAUUCCGGUAAAGGAUGGGGAUGCGUUCCAUUAGGUUGUUGGUGAGGUAACGGCCCACCAAGCCUUCGAUGGAUAGGGGUUCUGAGAGGAAGGUCCCCCACAUUGGAACUGAGACACGGUCCAAACUCCUACGGGAGGCAGCAGUGAGGAAUAUUGGUCAAUGGGCGGUAGCCUGAACCAGCCAAGUAGCGUGAAGGAUGAAGGCUCUAUGGGUCGUAAACUUCUUUUAUAUAAGAAUAAAGUGCAGUAUGUAUACUGUUUUGUAUGUAUUAUAUGAAUAAGGAUCGGCUAACUCCGUGCCAGCAGCCGCGGUAAUACGGAGGAUCCGAGCGUUAUCCGGAUUUAUUGGGUUUAAAGGGAGCGUAGGUGGACUGGUAAGUCAGUUGUGAAAGUUUGCGGCUCAACCGUAAAAUUGCAGUUGAUACUGUCAGUCUUGAGUACAGUAGAGGUGGGCGGAAUUCGUGGUGUAGCGGUGAAAUGCUUAGAUAUCACGAAGAACUCCGAUUGCGAAGGCAGCUCACUGGACUGCAACUGACACUGAUGCU
rnacentral:rRNA from 1 species